rnacentral:rRNA from 1 species
UACGUAGGAGGCAAGCGUUGUCCGGAAUUACUGGGUGUAAAGCGCGUGUAGGCGGCAGGCCAAGUCUGUGGUGAAAUCGCCCGGCUCAACUGGGCGGGGUCCAUGGAAACUGGUCAGCUGGAGGACGGUAGAGGUGAGUGGAAUUCCCGGUGUAGUGGUGAAAUGCGUAGAGAUCGGGAGGAACACCCGUGGCGAAGGCGGCUCACUGGGCCGGUCCUGACGCUGAGACGCGAAGGCGUGGGGAGCGAACGGGAUUAGAUACCCCGGUAGUCCACGCAGUAAACGAUGCAUACUAGGUGUGGGGGGUAUCGAGCCCCUCCGUGCCGCAGCUAACGCAGUAAGUAUGCCACCUGGGGAGUACGGCCGCAAGGUUAAA